AGUAACGCGUGGGAACGUACCCUUUUCUACGGAAUAGCCUCGGGAAACUGAGAGUAAUACCGUAUACGCCCUUCGGGGGAAAGAUUUAUCGGAGAAGGAUCGGCCCGCGUAAGAUUAGAUAGUUGGUGGGGUAAUGGCCUACCAAGUCUACGAUCUUUAGCUGGUUUGAGAGGAUGAUCAGCAACACUGGGACUGAGACACGGCCCAGACUCCUACGGGAGGCAGCAGUGGGGAAUCUUAGACAAUGGGGGAAACCCUGAUCUAGCCAUGCCGCGUGAGUGACGAAGGCCUUAGGGUCGUAAAGCUCUUUCGCUGGGGAAGAUAAUGACUGUACCCAGUAAAGAAACCCCGGCUAACUCCGUGCCAGCAGCCGCGGUAAUACGGAGGGGGUUAGCGUUGUUCGGAAUUACUGGGCGUAAAGCGCACGUAGGCGGAUUAGAAAGUUAGGGGUGAAAUCCCGGGGCUCAACCUCGGAACUGCCUCUAAAACUCCUAGUCUAGAGUUCGAGAGAGGUGAGUGGAAUUCCAAGUGUAGAGGUGAAAUUCGUAGAUAUUUGGAGGAACACCAGUGGCGAAGGCGGCUCACUGGCUCGAUACUGACGCUGAGGUGCGAAAGUGUGGGGAGCAAACAGGAUUAGAUACCCUGGUAG
rnacentral:rRNA from 1 species